GGGGGAACGAGUCAGCCUGCUUCUGUCUGAAGGAAGAAUAGAACUGGUCGAAUUUUGUACUCGUUUUAAUGUGAAAAUACCAACUACAUAGUUUUACAAACAGAAAUCUUGAAGCCACAGUGUGGUGUGGGGUUUCAGGAGUAACAUGGAGGGAACUAUUUUGUCUUGUCAAACAGCCAGGUUUGAAGCCAUCAUGUCAUUGGGGAUUUAUACCUGAACCUGCACAUAAGCAGCGUGAUUCAUCCAGAAAUAGAUCCAGCACUUCUCUCCACUUUGAACGAGGUAGAAACAGGAUCAGUGCAGGGAUUCAAGGCCGUGUUUAAACUUUCAGAACUAUUUGUUUUUAAGCUGACUUCAGCAGCAGAACAGCUGCCACCAUCCUCCUCUUCAUCGUCUCCUCCUCCUCCCUCUGGUUAUCAUCCUGCUCUCUGAUUGCUCUCCUUCCUCCUCUCCUUCCUCCUCUCUUCUGGCGACAUGAAGAUAUCACCCGGAUGAAUUUAAACGUCAUGUACGAUAACAGAUGAACAGAUUCUCCGAGAGGGCGGAGAAUGACACGCGGACGUUUGCAAUGGGAGAUAUUAACAAAUGAAAGAAAAGGGAACAGAGCAGGAUGAUGAAUUUGAAUAUCAUCUUCAUGUCUGAUAACAGAGCGUGUGAUACGUUAGUUAUCAAUGAGAAAAAUACAUGGUGUCAUAAUGAAUAUGAGCGGAGAGUUUAGCACAGAUUAGACGCUUUAUUGAUGAGAAAUGGAAACAAUCAUUUAGAGAUUUUCAGCGCUCUGAGAGACGGACGAUGUUUAGCUCCGUUCAGAGAAAGAAACACGAGAGUGGACUGUUUGUACCGGAGGAGAUAUGAUUACACACAGAUAUGAUCUCACUUCACUGGAGCUGUGCUACAUCAGCUUUUAUUAGUUUGAACCUCAGACUACAAGUGGUUGGAGCCUCAUGGUUUUAACUGAAGCCACUGCAGAGGUGACUGAAACCUGCAUUCUGUUAACGGCCUACAGGGGGCGACUCACCUGGUUGCAAAAAGAAUCUACUGUAGGAUCAAAUGGUCUCUGCUGAUUUUAUUCCCUCCUGAAGAGUUUAUGGUCUCACACUCUGGUUUCAAGUCUUCUUCAUCACAGUGUGAUUAUUUAUGAAAUGAUCGUCCCAUUUAAAGAAGAAGAAGAAAUAUAUUCUGCAGGCCAUGGCCUCCAAGUCAGAAUCAAAAUGUCUGCACGUUCUUGGACAUAUGCGUUAAGACAAACCGCUGGAUGAUGUCAUGUUGGCUUUGUUUACUUGUUAAAUACAGUGGAUGGUUUUAACACAGUUCAAGCAGCCCGACUCUUUGAAUGUGGAAGCUGGUUCAGCGGCCGAUUCUUAAAAAUGGUUUUCUUCAAGUUUAUGGUUCCUCUCUGGAGUGAUGUCAGCCCUCUGUCCUCGAGGUUAAAGUGAGAAGAUCCAAAGUGUGCAUGAGGUGGUGUUGGGGGGCUUUGGAGGGAUGUGUUAGAGACAUUCAGUGACCCUCCUUUUUAAAUGAUGAAUAAGAGUUGAAUAACAGAGCGACCUGUACUGUAAGUUACAUCAGGUGCAUGACCUCAUAUGUAGGUAAGAACUUCUUCAAAUCCAAAGCAGAUACUUCAGCAGCGGGUCAUUGUAUCAGGUAUCUGAAUGAACACCUGUCAGCUCAAACUGUCACAGAAACGUGUCUCGAUGUUUGACUUUCUUUGUCGCUCUGAUUAAAGCGAGCUCAGGUUGACCUCGGUUCAGAGCUCGUCGUCUUUGUGCUGCAGCUGCUCUUGCUGCGGGGGGUUUUUGUCUUUCCAAGCCAAGAUGCAAUUUAGCUGCCCUGAGCUAGCACCGGGGCCUCCGUCUCUUAAUAACUGCCACUGUUAUGAAGUGUUGACAACUAAUAUCAGGGGAUAAUUCAGCCGGCGUGCCCAGACCCCCCCCCCCCCCCCCCCCCCCCCCGCUUUAUUAACACCCAGUUUCCUCCAGCAUGCAGCCGCAGUGUUUCCUCCUCUCUCUCCUCCUCUCUCUCCAUUUUACUGUCCUCAUUUUUUAAAGUUUCUCUUUAAAGUUGUUCUGUUUCCUCCCUGCGACCUCUCCUUAUCUCCUUCCCUUCUUCUAACUCCUUCUCUGUU